rnacentral:rRNA from 1 species
UACGUAGGGUGCAAGCGUUAAUCGGACUUACUGGGCGUCAAGCGUGCGCAGGCGGUUGUGCAAGACCGAUGUGAAAUCCCCGGGCUUAACCUGGGAAUGGCAUUGGUGACUGCACGGCUAGAGUGUGUCAGAGGGGGGUAGAAUUCCACGUGUAGCAGUGAAAUGCGUAGAGAUGUGGAGGAAUACCGAUGGCGAAGGCAGCCCCCUGGGAUAACACUGACGCUCAUGCACGAAAGCGUGGGGAGCAAACAGG